rnacentral:rRNA from 1 species
UGGGGAAGUAUUGCACAAUGGGGGGAACCCGUGAUGCAGCGACGCCGCGUGGGUGAAGGAGUAUUUCGGUAUGUAAAGCCCUAUCAGCAGGGAAGAACAAUGACGGUACCUGACUAAGAAGCACCGGCUAAAUACGUGCC